GAUGAACGCUGGCGGCGUGCCUAAUACAUGCAAGUCGAGCGAACAGACGAGGAGCUUGCUCCUCUGACGUUAGCGGCGGACGGGUGAGUAACACGUGGAUAACCUACCUAUAAGACUGGGAUAACUUCGGGAAACCGGAGCUAAUACCGGAUAACAUGUUGAACCGCAUGGUUCAUCAGUGAAAGACGGUCUUGCUGUCACUUAUAGAUGGAUCCGCGCCGCAUUAGCUAGUUGGUAAGGUAACGGCUUACCAAGGCAACGAUGCGUAGCCGACCUGAGAGGGUGAUCGGCCACACUGGAACUGAGACACGGUCCAGACUCCUACGGGAGGCAGCAGUAGGGAAUCUUCCGCAAUGGGCGAAAGCCUGACGGAGCAACGCCGCGUGAGUGAAGAAGGUCUUCGGAUCGUAAAACUCUGUUAUUAGGGAAGAACAAAUGUGUAAGUAACUAUGCACGUCUUGACGGUACCUAAUCAGAAAGCCACGGCUAACUACGUG
rnacentral:rRNA from 1 species